rnacentral:lncRNA from 1 species
UCACUAACAUACCAUUCAUACAUUCAAAUACCAUUACAAUACCAUGACAAAAGCUACGAACUAGUCAAUAACAUAACAUUAAUUUAGUGUUCUAAAACAAAAACUAAGAACUACUUGGUGGAUUACCGGACGGAUUGAUUUGUUUCAUAAAGGCUGCCAAUUGUCGUUGCACUUGCAAUUCCAUUUCAUUUCGCAUUUGUUGCAUUUGCAAAUUCAUUUCACUUUGCUUUUCAUCCAUGGCUUGUUGCAUGUUUGACACUUGUUGUCGCAACUCAUUUACCUAAAUAUAGCAAGACAAACACAUGCAGUUAGUAAAUGUAAUUCAACUUUAAACCAUGAUAGCAAUGUACUUUACUUUUAAUUUCAUCUAUAAUUAGUCAAAGAAGGAUAAAAUUUUCAAUUAAUACAUGAAUAUUAGAAUAAUACUAAAUUCAUAGAAUGAAUAUUUGGAAUUGAGUGUCCUCUUAGUAUCAAUUCUUUUGAAACUAAAUAGUAGUAGCCUACAUAUAAUCUGUUGAUGAAAUUGUAGACUUGGUUGAAACUAAAUGACAUUAAUUUUGACAAAACCAAUUUUGAAAACAUUAAAAGAUUAGCAUUAUAAAAUGAAUCAUUUACAUCAAAAACUAAAGGCUAAAAAAAAUAUAUUUGAGUAAUUUAUGGUAGCCAAAAAUAGAUGCGCAUGCUACUGAUGCAUGAUUCUCCCAAAAGAAAAGGACAUUGACAAGUAUUAACACAUACAUGAAUGAUAUUAGUUUCCUAAGCAUUUGUAGGCAUUUAUGAUGAAGUCGGUUUCAUUUGCUAGUUAUUACGGGGGUAGUAUUUUCUUGAGAAUCUCUUGUGGAUAUAUAAUAUAACAAGUAUUAAGAUACGGCUUACUUUUUGUUGAUUAGUCUUAUGAAUGCCAUCUUCUAUAAUUAAAAACAAAACGUUGAUUAUGCUUUUAGGAAGAACUAUGUACAUAUUUAUAUUCCCUGAAACUAGAAAGCUAUGUUAGUCUUUUAAAGCAUGCCAAUCUUUCAACAAAAAGUCAAACAAAAAACAAUAUAACCUACCACAAUAUAAAGUAUAUACUAAUACACAUCUAUUAGAAAGGGCUAGAGCAUCAAGGGUAAAAUCGUCCAAAUAGGCAAAAUUUCAAAGAUUUACAAGGGAGACACAUUUUCAAAUCCAAACAACCAAAACUGAGGCUAACAGGAAAAUUCCGUCCCAAAUAGGAGAAUACUUCCAUUACAGAUCUUGGACAGGGUCACAGAAUUCAGAAGAGGAAAGGGUAUCUAAUUUGGAUCUUAACUUGAGCUCUGCACAUGGACAAGUUACAACUAUUGCUGCAAAACUGCUGCAUACUGAUGAUUCAAGUUCUAUGGGUCUAAAUUAGUGAAAUCUACUGCAAUGGAGAAGUUACAAGUAUGGAAAGCAAAGCUGAAAAAGACACUUGAAAUCACAAAAACUGAAAUUGAUUCUCCAGGGGCAAAAUUUGUGAAAUGUGAGCAAACUGAAAUCGACAUACAUACAUACCUGGGGUGUCGCUGAUGGUGGUGUGAGCAGUGACGGUUGUAGUAUGGUGCAGCGAUGGUGGUGGUACGGGGCAACAUCGGCGGUGGUGUGCGACAGCGACGUUGGAGGGCAAACCUACAACCGUUUUGGUCAAUGUGGGUCGCCGAUAUGAGCUGAAAUCAGAGUUCGGAAAUCACAAAACUCGAAUUGGUUGCUUGAAAUCAGUCGAGAAUCACCGGUGGAUGUGUGCUGCAGCAGGGGUUCCGAAAUCGCCAAGCAAGGGUUUUAUUUGGGUAACAAAAAAAAUGGUCAUUCCUACAUUGUGAAAAUGUGCUUCGAAAUCGUACCUGGGGUGUCGCCGCUGGUAGUGUGGGGCAGCGACGGUGGUGGUAUGGUGCAGCGACGGUGGUGAUACGGGGCAGCGUCGGCGGUGGUGUGCGACAACGAUGGUUGGUUGGCAAACCUGCAACAGUUUGGUCAAUGUGGGUCGCCGAUCGAUUGUUUGGAAAUCAUAGAAGUCGAAUAGGUUACCAAAAAAUGUCGCCGAUGUACGUAUCAGUCGAGAAUCACCGGCGGAUGUGUGCUGGUUCGGAAAUCGCCAAUCGCCGGUGUAAGCUAGGGCUUUGUUUGCGACGAGCUAGUUACGAAUAGUGAAGCGGGAAACAAUUUGGGUUUUAGGAGGCGUAGCAAAUCGGUAGCAUAUGGAAAUCGUAGGAAUUUCGUAGGUAUAAACAAAUUGGG